CAGUCGCCGCGGUAAUGCGAAGGGGGCUAGCGUUGCUCGGAAUGACUGGGCGUAAAGGGCGCGUAGGCGGCGAUCAAAGUCAGGCGUGAAAUUCCUGGGCUCAACCUGGGGGCUGCGCUUGAUACUGGGUUGCUUGAGUGGGGAAGAGGGUCGUGGAAUUCCCAGUGUAGAGGUGAAAUUCGUAGAUAUUGGGAAGAACACCGGUGGCGAAGGCGGCGACCUGGUCCUUUACUGACGCUGAGGCGCGAAAGCGUGGGGAGCAAACAGGAUUAGAUACCCCAGUAGUCCCUGUCUCUUAUAC
rnacentral:rRNA from 1 species